CGAAAACCAUUUCAAGCUAUUAGAACGCGAUCAAUUGCAGCAAUGAUUCCAAUUACUACAAUUAGUAAAGCGUAAUCCACGUUUAAUUUCAGGACACGUACCUUUCUUUUGAGACAUAGUGCCGACGUGACGCUGCUUGGCGAGCUAGAGACGUUGCUCAACUGGGGACUCGAGUAUACGCGACGAUGAUUGAGGAAGAGAGAGGGAACCGCUCUUCGGACUGCUCUGAAAUGACUUGACGCUGCGAGUGCCAGCUCGCAAAA